rnacentral:rRNA from 1 species
AUACGGAGGGGACUAGCGUUGUUCGGAAUUACUGGGCGUAAAGCGCACGUAGGCGGACCAGAAAGUAUGGGGUGAAAUCCCAGGGCUCAACCCUGGAACUGCCUCAUAAACUCCUGGUCUAGAGUUCGAGAGAGGUGAGUGGAAUUCCGAGUGUAGAGGUGAAAUUCGUAGAUAUUCGGAGGAACACCAGUGGCGAAGGCGGCUCACUGGCUCGAUACUGACGCUGAGGUACGAAAGUGUGGGGAGCAAACAGGAUUAGAUACCCUGGUAGUCCACACCGUAAACGAUGAAUGCCAGUCGUCGGGUAGUAUACUAUUCGGUGACACACCUAACGGAGUAAGCAUUCCGCCUGGGGAGUACGGUCGCAAGAUUAAAACUCAAAUGAAUUGACGGGGACCCGCACAAGUAGUGGAGCAUGUGGUUUAAUUCGAAGAUACGCGCAGAACCUUACCAACACUUGACAUGUUCGUCGCGACUCUAAGAGAUUAGAGUUUUCGGUUUGGCCGGACGAAACACAGGUGCUGCA